rnacentral:misc_RNA from 1 species
GAUGAAGAACGUAGCGAAAUGCGAUACUUGGUGUGAAUUGCAGAACCCCGUGAACCAUCGAGUCUUUGAACGCAAGUUGCGCCCGAAGCCAUCAGGUUGAGGGCACGUCUGCCUGGGCGUCACAUAUCGUUGCCCAAUGCCUAUUGCAGUGCAAUAGGAAUUUCUAGGGCGAAUGAUGGCUUCCCGUGAGCGUUGUUGCCUCGCGGUUGGUUGAAAAUCGAGUCCUUGGUAGGGUGUGCCAUGGUAGAUGGUGGUCGAGUUAGAACGAUACCGAUCAUGUGCAUGCUCCCCAAAAUAUGGCCUCUAUGACCCACACGCGUCUUUUGACGCUCAUGACGAGACCUCAGGUCAGGCGGGGCUACCCGCUGAAUUUAAGCAUAUCAAUAAGCGGAGGA